rnacentral:rRNA from 1 species
AGCUCCAAUAGCGUAUAUUAAAGUUGCUGCAGUUAAAAAGCUCGUAGUUGGAUUUGUGGCGCGGCCGUCCGGCGGGGGUCCUUCUAUGGUCUCGUUUGUCCUGGUUUUCGGCCGCUCCUUUCUCGGGUAGAGCGUAAUGGCUGGCAUUAGGUUGUCGGCCGCUUCGCGCCCGUCGUUUACUGUGAAAAAAUUAGAGUGUUCAAAGCAGGCUUAGGCCGUUGGAUACAUUAGCAUGGAAUAAUGAGAUAGGGCCACGGCGGUCUAUUUUGUUGGUUUGCACGUUGUGGUAAUGAUUAACAGGAACGGUUGGGGGUAUUCGUAUUCAAUUGUCAGAGGUGAAAUUCUUUGAUUAGUUGAGGACGAUCGACUGCGAAAGCAUUUGCCAAGGACCUUUCUGUUG